rnacentral:rRNA from 1 species
UACAGAGGUCCCGAGCGUUGUUCGGAUUCACUGGGCGUAAAGGGUGCGUAGGUGGCGAGGUAAGUCGGAUGUGAAAUCUCGGAGCUCAACUCCGAAACUGCAUUGGAAACUACCUGGCUAGAGGUUUGGAGGGGGGACUGGAAUGCUUGGUGUAGCAGUGAAAUGCGUAGAUAUCGGGAGGAACACCAAUUGCGAAGGCAGCUCGCUGGACGUUACUGACGCUGAGACGCGAAAGCGUGGGGAGCGAACGAGG